ensembl:snRNA U6 U6 spliceosomal RNA
GUGGCUCACUUCAGCAGCACAUAUACUAAAAUUGGGAUGAUACAGUGAUUAGCAUGGCCCUUGUGCAAAGAUGACAUUCAAAUUCAUGAAGCAUUCCAUAUUUAA